rnacentral:rRNA from 1 species
GACGAACGCUGGCGGCGUGCUUAACACAUGCAAGUCGAACGGAAAGGCCCUGCUUUUGUGGGGUGCUCGAGUGGCGAACGGGUGAGUAACACGUGAGUAACCUGCCCUUGACUGUGGGAUAACUUCAGGAAACUGGGGCUAAUACCGGAUAGGAGCUCCUGCUGCAUGGUGGGGGUUGGAAAGUUUCGGCGGUUGGGGAUGGACUCGCGGCUUAUCAGCUUGUUGGUGGGGUAGUGGCUUACCAAGGCUUUGACGGGUAGCCGGCCUGAGAGCGUGACCGGCCACAUUGGGACUGAGAUACGGCCCAGACUCCUACGGGAGGCAGCAGUGGGGAAUAUUGCACAAUGGGCGGAAGCCUGAUGCAGCAACGCCGCGUGCGGGAUGACGGCCUUCGGGUUGUAAACCGCUUUCGCCUGUGACGAAGCGUGAGUGACGGUAAUGGGUAAAGAAGCACCGGCUAACUACGUG